GAUUAACGCUGGCGGCGUGCAUAACACAUGCAAGUCGAACGAAGUGGCGGACGGUUGAGUAACGCGUGAGUAACCUGCCUUACACAAGGGGAUAGCCGUUGGAAACGACGAAUAAUACCCUAUGGUGUAAGAUGGUCUCGAGUCUGAUUAGCUAGUUGGUGAGGUAACGGCCCACCAAGGCAACGAUCAGUAGCCGGCUUGGAGGAGCGGACCACAACAUUGGGACUGAGACAAGGCCCAGACUCGACGGGAGGCAGCAGUGGGGAAUCGUGCAUACUGGGGGAAACCCUGAGGCAGCGACGCCGUGUGAUUUAGAAGGCGGUCGGGUUGUAAAAAUGUUUUGUAUGGGCAGCAGUACCAGACGAAUAAGGACCGGCUAACUACGUGCCAGCAGCCGCGGUAAUAC
rnacentral:rRNA from 1 species